rnacentral:rRNA from 1 species
AGAGUUUGAUCCUGGCUCAGGAUGAACGCUAGCGGCAGGCCUAACACAUGCAAGUCGAGGGGUAACGAUGGUUUCGGCCAGGCGACGACCGGCGCACGGGUGCGUAACGCGUAUGCAACCUACCUUUAACUGGAAGAUAGCCCCGAGAAAUCGGGAUUAAUACUCCAUAAUAUUUAUGAGUGGCAUCACUUAUAAAUUAAAGCUCCGGCGGUUAGAGAUGGGCAUGCGUGACAUUAGUUUGUUGGUGAGGUAACGGCUCACCAAGACGACGAUAGGUAGGGGUCCUGAGAGGGAGAUCCCCCACACUGGUACUGAGACACGGACCAGACUCCUACGGGAGGCAGCAGUGAGGAAUAUUGGGCAAUGGAGGCAACUCUGACCCAGCCAUGCCGCGUGCAGGAAGACGGCCCUAUGGGUUGUAAACUGCUUUUAUAGAGGAAGAAACCUGGGGACGUGUCCCUGGCUGACGGUACUCUACGAAUAAGCACCGGCUAACUCCGUGCCAGCAGCCGCGGUAAUACGGAGGGUGCAAGCGUUACUCGGAAUCACUGGGCGUAAAGCGCAUGCAGGCGGCCAAAUAAGUUAGAAGUGAAAUCCUACAGCUCAACUGUAGAACUGCUUCUAAAACUGUUUGGCUAGAGUCUGGGAGGGGAAGAUGGAAUUAGUUGUGUAGGGGUAAAAUCCGUAGAGAUAACUAGGAAUACCAAAAGCGAAGGCGAUCUUCUGGAACAGUACUGACGCUGAGAUGCGAAAGCGUGGGGAGCAAACAGGAUUAGAUACCCUGGUAGUCCACGCAGUAAACGAUGAAUGUUAGUCGUUGGAGUGCUAGACACUUCAGUGAUGCAGUUAACACAUUAAACAUUCCGCCUGGGGAGUACGGUCGCAAGAUUAAAACUCAAAGGAAUAGACGGGGGCCCGCACAAGCGGU